GUCUACAGCCAUGCUACCCUGAACAAGCCUAAUCCUGUCUGAUCUUGGAAGCUAAGCAGAGUUGGACCUGGUUAGUAUUUGGAUGGGAGACCACCUAGGAAGACCAUGUGCUAUAGGCG
rnacentral:rRNA from 1 species